GGUUUCAUUUGAGGUCCCCUAAAGACUAUGGGGUUGAUAGGCCAGACAUGGAAGCACCGCAAGGUGUGGAGUCUACUGGUACUAAUAGACCAAAACAAACACACACGAC
rnacentral:rRNA from 1 species